GACGAACGCUGGCGGCGUGCUUAACACAUGCAAGUCGAGCGGUAAGGCCCUUUCGGGGGUACACGAGCGGCGAACGGGUGAGUAACACGUGGGUGACCUGCCCUCAGCUCUGGGAUAAGCCUGGGAAACCGGGUCUAAUACUGGAUAUGACUCCAUGACGCAUGUUGUGGGGUGGAAAGCCUUGUGCGGCUGAGGAUGGGCCCGCGGCCUAUCAGCUUGUUGGUGAGGUGAUGGCCUACCAAGGCGACGACGGGUAGCCGGCCUGAGAGGGCGACCGGCCACACUGGGACUGAGACACGGCCCAGACUCCUACGGGAGGCAGCAGUGGGGAAUCUUGCGCAAUGGGCGAAAGCCUGACGCAGCGACGCCGCGU
rnacentral:rRNA from 1 species